AAUGAACGUUGGCGGCAUGGAUUAGGCAUGCAAGUCGAGCGAGAAGUGUAGCAAUACACGGAAAGCGGCGGAAGGGAGAGUAAUACGUGGGAAUCUGCCCUUAGACCUGGGAUAGCAGCGGGAAACUGCUGGUAAUACCAGAUAAUGUCUAUGGACCAAAGGUGUGACUCCGUCUAGGGAUGAGCCCACGUCCUAUUAGCUAGUUGGUAGGGUAAUGGCCUACCAAGGCGAUGAUGGGUAGCGGGUGUGAGAGCAUGACCCGCUCACUGGGACUGAGACACUGCCCAGACACCUACGGGUGGCUGCAGUCGAGAAUCUUCGGCAAUGGGCGCAAGCCUGACCGAGCGACGCCGCGUGCGGGAUGAAGGCCUUCGGGUUGUAAACCGCUGUCGAGGGGAAUGAAGUGUAGGUGGGUACUCCCAUCUAUUUGACAGAUCCCUGGAGGAAGCAUGGGCUAAGUUCGUGCCAGCAGCCGCGGUAAUAC
rnacentral:rRNA from 1 species